UACGAAGGGGGCUAGCGUUGUUCGGAUUUACUGGGCGUAAAGCGCACGUAGGCGGAUCGUUAAGUCGGGGGUGAAAUCCUGGAGCUCAACUCCAGAACUGCCUUCGAUACUGGCGAUCUUGAGUCCGGAAGAGGUGAGUGGAAUUCCUAGUGUAGAGGUGAAAUUCGUAGAUAUUAGGAAGAACACCAGUGGCGAAGGCGGCUCACUGGCCCGGUACUGACGCUGAGGCGCGAAAGCGUGGGGAGCAAACAGG
rnacentral:rRNA from 1 species